ACUCUGCAGGAGCAGAUGCUGGACAGG
rnacentral:piRNA from 1 species